UACGGAGGAUGCGAGCGUUAUCCGGAUUUAUUGGGUUUAAAGGGUGCGUAGGCGGCUUUUUAAGUCAGCGGUGAAAUUUUGCAGCUUAACUGUAACAGUGCCGUUGAUACUGGGGAGCUAGGAUUUGGUUGCUGUGGGUGGAAUGUGUGGUGUAGCGGUGAAAUGCUUAGAGAUCACACAGAAUAUCGAUUGCGAAGGCAGCUCACAAAGCCAAGAUUGACGCUGAGGCACGAAAGUGUGGGGAUCAAACAGGAUUA
rnacentral:rRNA from 1 species